GAAGAAUGUGUGAUACUACUAUGAGAGAUUUCAGAAGGUUGAAAUUGAAAUCCUAAGUGUGAUUAAGAGAAAAUCGUUUGUAAUUGUAAGGUUAAGGCAUACUAGGUUUGAGGUUUGGGUUGGAUGUGGGAAAAGUGAACUUUGGGUUGUAACAUAAUGCGGUUUGGUUUGGUUUAGUUCGGUUUGCAAAAUACAAACCACAAACCAAACCAAACCGUGCGGUUUUAUUAAAAAAUGACCCAAACGAAUCCGA
rnacentral:lncRNA from 1 species